UCCUACGGGAGGCAGCAGUGGGGAAUUUUGGACAAUGGGGGAAACCCUGAUCCAGCCAUGCCGCGUGCAGGAUGAAGGCCUUCGGGUUGUAAACUGCUUUUGUACGGAACGAAAAGGUCCUUUCUAAUAAAGAGGGCUCAUGACGGUACCGUAAGAAUAAGCACCGGCUAACUACGUGCCAGCAGCCGCGGUAAUACGUAGGGUGCGAGCGUUAAUCGGAAUUACUGGGCGUAAAGCGUGCGCAGGCGGUUAUAUAAGACAGAUGUGAAAUCCCCGGGCUCAACCUGGGAACUGCAUUAGUGACUGUAUAGCUGGAGUGCGGCAGAGGGGGAUGGAAUUCCGCGUGUAGCAGUGAAAUGCGUAGAUAUGCGGAGGAACACCGAUGGCGAAGGCAAUCCCCUGGGCCUGCACUGACGCUCAUGCACGAAAGCGUGGGGAGCAAACAGGAUUAGAUACCCUGGUAGUCCACGCCCUAAACGAUGUCAACUGGUUGUUGGGAAUUCACUUUCUCAGUAACGAAGCUAACGCGUGAAGUUGACCGCCUGGGGAGUACGGCCGCAAGGUUAAAACUCAAAGGAAUUGACGG
rnacentral:rRNA from 1 species